UUUCUUAAUUAGCCCUAGUCUUUUUUCCAAUUUAAAUUCAUUUUCCAAUUUACAAACCUUAAAUUUAAAUUCAUUCCAACCCAACUUAGCUAACAUCAAUUUAUAUAUCUACCUACUUACUCAACUUUGAACUCGUAAACAACUUAACCUCUAUUUGACCUUUACCCGUACUGACUUGACAACCUUACUUUAAAUUCAAAUUUCACUAGUUCCCCAUCAAUCUAAAAUUAGGAGAGAGCUCGCUGCGUAUUAUUGCCUUCAUUUGUGUUUUAGUUUCAGAACGCAUCUGCAAAUUGUCAGUGUGACGUUAACCUCAAAAGCCACGCUGGCACAUAAACGUUGCUAUAGCAUAGCUUAACGCAUACUGCAUUUCGAGUUUUUUCUGCUUAAAACAGUAAAGUGCAUUGUUCUUUCCAUACUUUUAAUUUAAAAAUUGAGUUUCGUUUAAAGUUUAAUAGAAAUUGCAUAUGCCAUCCUUAUUUUGUGAUAAAAACGCCGCUCACGUCGCUGCCGGGCCCGCCGCUCGACGACCGCAACCCGCACCGCCUGGACCGCUACCUGAGGCUGGAGCAGCUACGGCAACACUUCUGGAAGCGCUGGUCGGCCGAGUACGUGUCUCUACAACAGCAACGCUACAAAUGGCGCGAGAGGCAACGUGACCUACAACUGGGAGAAGUAGUACUCAUCAAGGAGGAGGGCUUACCGCCGUUGCUCUGGCGCAUGGGCAGAGUCGUCAAACUAUACCACGGGAAGGAUGGCGUACCUCGCGUGGCAGACAUCAAUACCGCUAGAGGGGUGAUCAAGCGUGCGCUGAACAGAAUAUGCCCGCUCUCGUCACAACAAGAAUCCUGAAAGAGAGUCUUUCAGCGCCCCGGAGUAUGUUAACGCCCUGACUGGCAACACAGACAGGAUAGCCAACCUCCGGUCACCCCGCUGAUCCAAUGAGCAGCGGCCAGAGCCUCGACCUGCCGGACCAAUAGGAAUGAAGACUGAAGCGCCGCGGUUUUCCCCCGUCGCGACACUAUAAAAGCACGGUGCGCGUCACCAGCGUCCCCUUUUUUACUAAUCGAAAACUCUCUCUGUCGCGUGUCCUAGACAAAACCUGUAAUUUAGAAUCCAUUAAAAGAAAUGGUAAUAUUU
rnacentral:misc_RNA from 1 species